rnacentral:rRNA from 1 species
ACUAUCGUUAACUGAAUACAUAGGUUAACGAGGCGAACCGGGGGAACUGAAACAUCUAAGUACCCCGAGGAAAAGAAAUCAACCGAGAUUCCCCCAGUAGCGGCGAGCGAACGGGGAGCAGCCCAGAGUCUGAAUCAGCUUGUGUGUUAGUGGAACGGUCUGGAAAGUCCGACGGUACAGGGUGAUAGUCCCGUACACCAAAAUGCACAGGUUGUGAACUCGAAGAGUAGGGCGGGACACGUGGUAUCCUGUCUGAAUAUGGGGGGACCAUCCUCCAAGGCUAAAUACUCCUGACUGACCGAUAGUGAACCAGUACCGUGAGGGAAAGGCGAAAAGAACCCCGGCGAGGGGAGUGAAAAAGAACCUGAAACCGUGUACGUACAAGCAGUGGGAGCACCUUCGGGUGUGACUGCGUACCUUUUGUAUAAUGGGUCAGCGACUUAUAUUCUGUAGCAAGGUUAACCGUAUAGGGGAGCCGCAGGGAAACCGAGUCUUAACUGGGCGUUAAGUUGCAGGGUAUAGACCCGAAACCCGGUGAUCUAGCCAUGGGCAGGUUGAAGGUUGGGUAACACUAACUGGAGGACCGAACCGACUAAUGUUGAAAAAUUAGCGGAUGACUUGUGGCUGGGGGUGAAAGGCCAAUCAAACCGGGAGAUAGCUGGUUCUCCCCGAAAGCUAUUUAGGUAGCGCCUCGUGAAUUCAUCUUCGGGGGUAGAGCACUGUUUCGGCUAGGGGGUCAUCCCGACUUACCAACCCGAUGCAAACUACGAAUACCGAAGAAUGUUAUCACGGGAGACACACGGCGGGUGCUAACGUCCGUCGUGAAGAGGGAAACAACCCAGACCGCCAGCUAAGGUCCCAAAGUCAUGGUUAAGUGGGAAACGAUGUGGGAAGGCACAGACAGCCAGGAUGUUGGCUUAGAAGCAGCCAUCAUUUAAAGAAAGCGUAAUAGCUCACUGGUCGAGUCGGCCUGCGCGGAAGAUGUAACGGGGCUAAACCAUGCACCGAAGCUGCGGCAGCGACACUAUGUGUUGUUGGGUAGGGGAGCGUUCUGUAAGCCUGCGAAGGUGUGCUGUGAGGCAUGCUGGAGGUAUCAGAAGUGCGAAUGCUGACAUAAGUAACGAUAAAGCGGGUGAAAAGCCCGCUCGCCGGAAGACCAAGGGUUCCUGUCCAACGUUAAUCGGGGCAGGGUGAGUCGACCCCUAAGGCGAGGCCGAAAGGCGUAGUCGAUGGGAAACAGGUUAAUAUUCCUGUACUUGGUGUUACUGCGAAGGGGGGACGGAGAAGGCUAUGUUAGCCGGGCGACGGUUGUCCCGGUUUAAGCAUGUAGGCUGGUUGUCCAGGCAAAUCCGGAUAAUCAAGGCUGAGGUGUGAUGACGAGGCACUACGGUGCUGAAGUAACAAAUGCCCUGCUUCCAGGAAAAGCCUCUAAGCAUCAGGUAACAUCAAAUCGUACCCCAAACCGACACAGGUGGUCAGGUAGAGAAUACCAAGGCGCUUGAGAGAACUCGGGUGAAGGAACUAGGCAAAAUGGUGCCGUAACUUCGGGAGAAGGCACGCUGGUGUGUAGGUGAAGUCCCUGCGGAUGGAGCUGAGACCAGUCGAAGAUACCAGCUGGCUGCAACUGUUUAUUAAAAACACAGCACUGUGCAAACACGAAAGUGGACGUAUACGGUGUGACGCCUGCCCGGUGCCGGAAGGUUAAUUGAUGGGGUUAUCCGUAAGGAGAAGCUCUUGAUCGAAGCCCCGGUAAACGGCGGCCGUAACUAUAACGGUCCUAAGGUAGCGAAAUUCCUUGUCGGGUAAGUUCCGACCUGCACGAAUGGCGUAAUGAUGGCCAGGCUGUCUCCACCCGAGACUCAGUGAAAUUGAACUCGCUGUGAAGAUGCAGUGUACCCGCGGCAAGACGGAAAGACCCCGUGAACCUUUACUAUAGCUUGACACUGAACAUUGAGCCUUGAUGUGUAGGAUAGGUGGGAGGCUUUGAAGCGUGGACGCCAGUCUGCGUGGAGCCAACCUUGAAAUACCACCCUUUAAUGUUUGAUGUUCUAACGUUGGCCCCUGACCGGGGUUGCGGACAGUGUCUGGUGGGUAGUUUGACUGGGGCGGUCUCCUCCCAAAGCGUAACGGAGGAGCACGAAGGUUAGCUAAUCCUGGUCGGACAUCAGGAGGUUAGUGCAAUGGCAUAAGCUAGCUUGACUGCGAGCGUGACGGCGCGAGCAGGUGCGAAAGCAGGUCAUAGUGAUCCGGUGGUUCUGAAUGGAAGGGCCAUCGCUCAACGGAUAAAAGGUACUCCGGGGAUAACAGGCUGAUACCGCCCAAGAGUUCAUAUCGACGGCGGUGUUUGGCACCUCGAUGUCGGCUCAUCACAUCCUGGGGCUGAAGUAGGUCCCAAGGGUAUGGCUGUUCGCCAUUUAAAGUGGUACGCGAGCUGGGUUUAGAACGUCGUGAGACAGUUCGGUCCCUAUCUGCCGUGGGCGCUGGAGAAUUGAGGGGGGCUGCUCCUAGUACGAGAGGACCGGAGUGGACGCAUCACUGGUGUUCGGGUUGUCAUGCCAAUGGCACUGCCCGGUAGCUAAAUGCGGAAGAGAUAAGUGCUGAAAGCAUCUAAGCACGAAACUUGCCCCGAGAUGAGUUCU